rnacentral:rRNA from 1 species
AGUGAACGCUGGCGGUAGGCCUAACACAUGCAAGUCGAACGGCAGCACAGUAAGAGCUUGCUCUUACGGGUGGCGAGUGGCGGACGGGUGAGGAAUACAUCGGAAUCUACUUUUUCGUGGGGGAUAACGUAGGGAAACUUACACUAAUACCGCAUACGACCUACGGGUGAAAGCAGGGGAUCUUCGGACCUUGCGCGAUUGAAUGAGCCGAUGUCGGAUUAGCUAGUUGGCGGGGUAAAGGCCCACCAAGGCGACGAUCCGUAGCUGGUCUGAGAGGAUGAUCAGCCACACUGGAACUGAGACACGGUCCAGACUCCUACGGGAGGCAGCAGUGGGGAAUAUUGGACAAUGGGCGCAAGCCUGAUCCAGCCAUACCGCGUGGGUGAAGAAGGCCUUCGGGUUGUAAAGCCCUUUUGUUGGGAAAGAAAAGCAGCAGGUUAAUACCCCGCUGUUCUGACGGUACCCAAAGAAUAAGUACCGGCUAACUUCGUG